ACGCUGGCGGCAGGCUUAACACAUGCAAGUCGAACGGUAACAGGGAUUAGCUUGCUAAUUUGCCGACGAGUGGCGGACGGGUGAGUAAUGCUUGGGAAUCUGGCUUAUGGAGGGGGAUAACUACGGGAAACUGUAGCUAAUACCGCGUAAUAUCGGAAGAUUAAAGGGUGGGACUUUCGAGCCACCUGCCAUAAGAUGAGCCCAAGUGGGAUUAGGUAGUUGGUUAGGUAAAGGCUGACCAAGCCGACGAUCUCUAGCUGGUCUGAGAGGAUGACCAGCCACACUGGAACUGAGACACGGUCCAGACUCCUACGGGAGGCAGCUGUGGGGAAUAUUGCACAAUGGGGGGAACCCUGAUGCAGCCAUGCCGCGUGAAUGAAGAAGGCCUUCGGGUUGUAAAGUUCUUUCGGUGACGAGGAAGGUUGAUAGGUUAAUAGCCUAUCAAAUUGACGUUAAUCACAGAAGAAGCACCGGCUAACUCCGUGCCAGCAGCCGCGGUAAUACGGGGGGUGCGAGCGUUAAUCGGAAUAACUGGGCGUAAAGGGCACGCAGGCGGUGACUUAAGUGAGAUGUGAAAGCCCCGAGCUUAACUUGGGAAUUGCAUUUCAUACUGGGUCGCUAGAGUACUUUAGGGAGGGGUAGAAUUCCACGUGUAGCGGUGAAAUGCGUAGAGAUGUGGAGGAAUACCGAAGGCGAAGGCAGCCCCUUGGGAAUGUACUGACGCUCAUGUGCGAAAGCGUGGGGAGCAAACAGGAUUAGAUACCCUGGUAGUCCACGCUGUAAACGAUGUCGAUUUGGGGAUUGGGCUUUGAGCUUGGUGCCCGUAGCUAACGUGAUAAAUCGACCGCCUGGGGAGUACGGCCGCAAGGUUAAAACUCAAAUGAAUUGACGGGGGCCCGCACAAGCGGUG
rnacentral:rRNA from 1 species